CAUUUUCAAACUUGAAAAUGUAGAAUCUAUUAAAAAGGAAAUCGAAAUUCUCAGCCAACUGAAACAUCCCAAUAUUGUGAAGUAUUAUGGCAAUGAAAUAGUUGGACACCACAUUUCUCUAUACAUGGAAUACAUCCAACCAGGUUCAUUGAAGAAAUAUAUAUCGAAAGG